rnacentral:rRNA from 1 species
GACGAACGCUGGCGGCGUGCUUAACACAUGCAAGUCGAGCGGUAAGGCCUUUCGGGGUACACGAGCGGCGAACGGGUGAGUAACACGUGGGUGAUCUGCCCUGCACUCUGGGAUAAGCCUGGGAAACUGGGUCUAAUACUGGAUAUGACCUCAGCAUGCAUGUGCUGGGGUGGAAAGCUUUUGUGGUGCAGGAUGGGCCCGCGGCCUAUCAGCUUGUUGGUGGGGUAAUGGCCUACCAAGGCAACGACGGGUAGCAGACCGGAGAGGGUGACCUGCCACACUGGGACUGAGACACGGCCCAGACUCCUACGGGAGGGAGCAGUGGAGAAUGGUGCACGAUGGGCGGAAGCCUGAUGCAGCGACGCCGCGUGAGGGAUGAAGGCCUUCGGGUUGUAAACCUCUUUCAGCAGGGACGAAGCGUGAGUGACGGUACCUGCAGAAGAAGCACCGGCUAACUACGUGCCAGCAGCCGCAGUAACAC